GCUCGGGGGUCUCCGGGGCGGAGGGGGAGCUGUCGGUGCGGGGGGUUCAGCCUCUGCAGGAUGAGCGCUGGUGACACCAGACGGAACAGCCCAAACCGGAGAGCGUUUGGGAAGGCUCCCGUGACUCCGUUUCCCCGGCCCUGGAAGCCCUCCGGGCCCCGCAGGGUGUUGCAAGGAUUAACCUGUAGGCAUGCAGGGAAAGUAGAAUACCUGGUGAAGUGGAAAGGAUGGCCCCCAAAAUACAGCACAUGGGAGCCAGAGGAUCAUAUCUUGGACCCUCGCCUGGUAGUGGCUUAUGAAGAAAAGGAGGAGAGAGACCGUGCAUCAGGGUACAGGAAAAGAGGCCCCAAACCAAAGCGCCUCCUACUGCAGCGGCUGUAUGGCAUGGACUUGAGGAGUGCCCAUAAGGGAAAGGAGAAGCUCUGUUUCUCUCUUGCACGGAGAUUUGGAGGAGGAGACAGUAGCCUGCCAGGGGCCAAGACAGGGCAGGCAGAGUUCCCAGAGAAGACUGGGGGAGCAGUCCUGCCAUUCUCUCUCCGGAAGCAACGCAAAAACCAGAAGUACCUGCGACUGUCCAGGAAGAAGUUCCCCCGCAUGGCAAGCCUGGAGAACCGAAACUGCAGGCAUGAGUUUUUCCUGAAUGAUGCAGUGGGCCUAGAGGCCAGGCAGGGCCCUGAGGACUGGGAGGCCAUGCAGCACACCAGCAAAGAAGCAGAUGUGGAUGCCAGUCUCCCUUGGAUCCCCACUGUGCCCCCCAGUGAAGUGACAGUGACAGACAUCACGGCAAACUCCAUUACCGUCACUUUCAGAGAAGCACAAGUGGCUGAGGGCUUCUUUCGAGACCGGAGUGCACAGUUCUGAAUCUGUUUGCAGUGCUCCCCAAAAACAGUGCUUUUAGGGCGGGGCUAGGGAAGGGUUAUGUUAUCCCUUAAGAGAAAAAAAAUAUCCAAAAUGUCUCCUCUUAAAAUGUUUACAGAGACUUUUUUUUUCUCCUUUUCCCCCUUUCAGAUACGCAAAAAAGGGCAGUGUAGGGGGUGUGUGUUUGUCAUUGCUUUGUCCAGCUGAAAAACUGACAGCCCUUUCCCUGGCAAAGACUCCCCUCCUUGAUGUGAAAGCAGCAAGCCGAACAAUUCGCCUUUUAUCCUGUCAAGUGGCGGCAGCUGCAUUUGUGGGGAGAGGGCAUGUGGAGGUGGAAAGAGAGCUGGAUCUCUAGCCUGCUGCCUUGUUCUGCAAUUGAUAUCCCUCGGAUAAAGAUACAUCUCUGUGCGUUGCUCUUCCCACCUUCCUCCUCCCUCUCUUCCUGCAGCAGUGAGACGCAAUGGAUCCUACCUGUGUAGAUAACUCCAGCCUGUUAAGACUUUCUCUCCAGUGCUGUUUUCCCUGUGGCCUGCUGUCAGGACUUCAGAAUCCUAUUUGCCUGUCUGUGCUGAAUUAUUUUCCACCAGUCACUUCUAUUGGUAUAAACGUGCAGUGCAGCUGGAAAAAGAAUGGAAAAUGUGCGUGCAUGCGUGAGAAAGAUCAGUAAAAAAGGAUCGAUGAAGAAUGGAGCCUGCAAAAGGCUGUUUCUGACAUUACUCAUUGCUUUGAUUGGAGGAGGUCAGGUUUUUAUUAAUUUUUAACCCACUGGGUAUGUUAGAGCUGUACAGAGGUGACCUGGGACGGUUGGUCUUUUGAUGGAUUAUAAUUUGAAGAGGAGAAUGCCAAUGUCAGGGUGACUGCUGCUCUGGGUUUAGGGAGUUCUCAACAUCCUUGCACAAGGCUGUGGUGCCAGGACAGCUCUGCUAGCAGCAGGAGAGUGCUGAUGUGCCCCGUAUCAUGUGUUUCUUAUGGGAACGGAGAAAGUCUGAGGCAAGACCUGGGCUACCAGGCACGCUCCACACUGAUUGCCAGCAGGGAAGCAGCUCUCCUCCAUGCCGAAGCCUCUAGUGGGUUGUUCUGCAGGGCUUCCAGGGACCUUUUCAGGAGCACAGCUGCUCCUGGGCAGAGUUUGACCCCUGGUUCACCCCAGGUAAUGCAGGGCUUAGCCGAGGAGCCCGUGUACUGGAACUGCUGAUACUCCUUGGAGAGAAUCCCAAAUGCCAGUUAGUCCACUUCAGUGUCUGACUUGCUCCCUCGAGGAGUGUCUCUCUCCAUCCUCUGUGGAGGGGCAGGAUAAGCUGUUUAUGGAGGUACCUCAGCAAGCGAAUGGGGCUGCCCGAGAUGCCUUUAAUAGGCGUAAGGUGGGGGUGAGCCCUGCACCUGAGCACAGCUGUGAUGUCAAUCCCAAAAACAUGCAGAGCAAAAGCAGAGGGGGAUGGGAUGCAUUUCCUGAGUUGGUCAUGGCUCAAGGCAGUAUGAUUAGGUCUUGCCCAUGUUACCAAAGCACAGUCAGCAUGCUUGCCUCGAGCCAGGGCGGCUGGAGCUGAGUGAUGGCAUUGGAGCAGGACUCCAGCCAGCCACUUACUCUCUGGCAGCAGCAGCAGUGAGCGAGUCAGGUAAAGUUGGAAGAAACUGCAGUGCAGAGUUACAGGAAAGCCUACUCUGGAGGUUGUGCCUUCCUACCCCUGCCAAUGCUGCAGAGGGUGGCUGGCAGUAGAAACUCACAACAGCUUGUCCUUUCGCAUGCAUGUGUUGGUUGGAUUAAAGGUUAAUCUGAGCAGAACUUCUAUUUUUUAAUAAUCUGUUGCUAUGCCACCCCUCCGAUCCAUGCAGUGCAGCUGGCUUGCCUUGCACAGCUUUCCCCUUCGGAUGCCUCAGAACAAGGCCACUCAGCAAGAGGGGAACCACACGGUUUGGGCAGCUCGGUGUUCUCUGAGAAGCACAGGGUGAAAUGCAGUGCAUGUGACCCCUGCAAUGGCACCUCCUGUCCAUUCAGUGCCACACAUCUUCCCUGUUCUUGGCCCUUCUCUUUCCAGCGUUUUACUCACCAAGCCACUGUUUUCGAAUCAAGAAUGCAAUAAACCUGGGGGACUUGUGUAAUGCAAGCAGCAGCCUGGGCAGCUGGGCCUGCUUUGGGCCCAGGGAUAUCAUAGCACCCCAGCGGUGUAGGCCCAGCUCAAACCCCAUUGGCCUUCUCCUCUCUCUGCUACAUCAAAAAGUUAGUGGGCUGGAGGGAUGGUUGUUCUGACCACUUGGCCCAUGCUGAGCCACCUGUACCUGGUGUGUGGGGAGGUACUGGUCAGCUCCGAGGGAUCUGCCUUUGCUUGCGUGUAUUCCAGAGUUGCAGCAGUGAAAUCUCAGCCCAUUUUGACCCGGAUGACCACAGGGUUGCUGGGUGCGUGCAGCUGUGUCCACUCCUGGGGUAGGUGAGGGAGUGACCGUUUCCGUGCCAAAAUCUGCUGCUCCUGACAGUGACCUCCCUGGAGCAAACAGCAGUGGAGUCAGUCGAUCGACCCUUGGAGCUGUUCUCAUGGAGGUUUAUGUAGCAUGCUUGGCCCAUUUACCUUGCAGUACCUUAUACUGGCUCAAAAACCGGACCUUAUACUGGCACAAAACCUGUACCUUGUGCUGGCACGCCGGCCAAACAGAGAAAAGAAAUAAAGAUAACGAGGAUUUAA